GUGCUAAGGUAGCGCAAUCACUUGCCCUUUAAUUGGGGGCUAGUACGAAUGGUCAAACGAGGGUGAAACUGUCUCAUUAAGGCCUCCGAAAACUAUCCUUCACGUGAAGAGACCUGAUUAAAAUAGAAAGACGAGAAGACCCUAUCAAGCUUUACACUACCCGAGCCUCUUAAUACUACGCUCACGCAGUGUUUUGUUGGGGCAACACAGGAACUAACGCUUCCUCUUUACACCAUCCCCUCAACUAAAUGAUCCGGCACAGCCGAAUUAAAAUAAAGCUACUGUAGGGA
rnacentral:rRNA from 1 species